AUUGAACGCUGCGGCAGGCCUAACACAUGCAAGUCGAGCGAUCGGCGGACGGGUGAGUAUUGCUUAGGUAUCUGCCUAUUAGCGGGGGACACCACCCCGUAAGGGAUGCUAUUACCGCAUACUAAUACAUGCGCCUAGUCGGAUUAGCUAGUUGGUGGGGUAAAGGCCUACCCAGGCGCCGAUCUGUAGCGGGUCUGAGAGGAUGAUCCGCCACACUGGGACUGAGCCACGGCCCAGAGUCCUACGGGAGGCAGCAGUGGGGAAUAUGAACAAUGGGGGGAACCCUGAUGCAGCCAUGCCGCGUGUGUGAAGAAGGCCUUAGGGUUGUAAAGCACUUUCAGCGGGGAGGCGUUACCCGCAGAAGAAGCACCGGCUAACUCCGUGCCAGCAGCCGCGGUAAUUC
rnacentral:rRNA from 1 species